AUAUUAAUAAAUAAUUGGUAACAUUUUUAUAUAUAAUUCAUAAUUAAAAUAAAAUUGUAGUACUUUCAGAACAAAUGCUCGUUAAGAAGAAAAAGAAAAAUAUCAAAAAGAUAUUCUUUUUCUUCUUUCACUCUCCCUCUAUUAAUUUACUGUUAAUUUCAGAAAAUAUUUGUGACCGCGUGCAAUGCGGUUAAUAGAAUCAGUGUUUUGUUCGUCAUAGUAUUUUUAAAAUUUUGUAGAGCACAAUAGCUCUGAUUAAAUUUAAGAAUAAUCAAACGCGAAGAUAGAGUCAGUGUUUGUUCGCCGAUUAUAAUUUAUUCGGACGCGUUAUUAGUUUCUUAUUUUUUAUUUUUUUUUUAUUCUCAAUAUUCGUUUUCGGUACCGAAUAGAAUCAGUGCUUCUCAAGAGAAUAGGGCGAUCAUCCACCACGCGAAGAGAUGCUGAUGAUCUUUAUGAAGAUUUUUCUUGAACUUUAAUCUUAAAAAAUAUUUGUGACCACGUGCAAUGUGGUUAUUAGAGUCAGUGUUUACUUCGUUUAGUAUUUUGAAUAUUUUUUAGAGCACUACAGCUCUGAUUAAAUUUAAUUAGAAUACUCAAACGCGAAAGUAGAAUCAGUGUUUAUUCGCCGAUUAUAAUUUAUACGGACGCGUUAUUAGUUUCUUAUUUUUCAUUUUUUUUUAUUUUAAAUAUUCGUUUUCGGUACAGGGUAGAUUCAGUGCUUCUCUCAAGAGAGUAAGACGAUCAUCCAUCACGCGAAGAGAUUUCUUCCAUCCUUCUAACUGAUGACGAUCUUCUGGAUGACUUCUGGGCUACUAGUGAAGGCGUUUGUCGCAUCAUACGGUGAGUCGCAUGUUUUUCGUUUCCUCCGGUCACUCAAUCAUGUCGUAGGAUGAAAGAUCCGAAUCGACACCGAGUGACUGGUUGUAUACGUAGAAUUUUGCCACGAGCACAGUGACCAUGGAUAUAUAUAUUUUAUGUAUCUGUGAAUAGUAACAUUUAUUUUCUCUGUAUUUAUUUAUUAGUUCAGGUUAGGUCUUCUUGUACCUCGCGUUUUUAAAUAUUAGUCCGAA